UCCGGGGAUAACAGGCUGAUACCGCCCAAGAGUUCAUAUCGACGGCGGUGUUUGGCACCUCGAUGUCGGCUCAUCACAUCCUGGGGCUGAAGUAGGUCCCAAGGGUAUGGCUGUUCGCCAUUUAAAGUGGUACGCGAGCUGGGUUUAGAACGUCGUGAGACAGUUCGGUCCCUAUCUGCCGUGGGCGCUGGAGAACUGAGGGGGGCUGCUCCUAGUACGAGAGGACCGGAGUGGACGCAUCACUGGUGUUCGGGUUGUCAUGCCAAUGGCACUGCCCGGUAGCUAAAUGCGGAAGAGAUAAGUGCUGAAAGCAUCUAAGCACGAAACUUGCCCCGAGAUGAGUUCUCCCUGACCCUUUAAGGGUCCUGAAGGAACGUUGAAGACGACGACGUUGAUAGGCCGGGUGUGUAAGCGCAGCGAUGCGUUGAGCUAACCGGUACUAAUGAACCGUGAGGCUUAACCUUACAACGCCGAAGGUGUUU
rnacentral:rRNA from 1 species